UACAGAGGUCUCAAGCGUUGUUCGGAUUCAUUGGGCGUAAAGGGUGCGUAGGCGGCGCGGUAAGUCGGGUGUGAAAUCUCGGAGCUUAACUCCGAAACUGCAUUCGAUACUGCCGUGCUUGAGGACUGGAGAGGAGACUGGAAUUUACGGUGUAGCGGUGAAAUGCGCAGAUAUCAGGAGGAACACCGGUGGCGAAGGCGGGGUCUCUGGGCCGAUACUGACGCUGAGGAGCGAAAGCGUGGGGAGCGAACAGG
rnacentral:rRNA from 1 species